GAUGAGUAGUUACACCCAACAUCCGCCUGGGUAUUACAAGCACCAGCUUAAAAUCCAAAAGACCUGGCGGUGCUUUAAAACCCCCUAGAGGAGCCUGUUCUAUAAUCGAUAACCCCCGUUCAACCUCACCCUCUUUUGCCAUUACCGUUUGUAUACCGCCGUCGUCAGCUUACCCUGUGAAGGGUUUAUAGUGAGCACAAUUGAUUGAACCUUAUAUGUCAGGUCAAGGUGUAGCUUAUAAGAGGGAAAGUAAUGGGCUACAUUCGCUCACCAGCGUAUUACGAAUGCAACCUGAAAUCUCAUGACUAUGAAGGAGGAUUUAGUAGUAAGGGAGAAAUAGAGUAUCC
rnacentral:rRNA from 1 species